AGUUCUGGAGAACGCCAUCAGCUAGCUGCUUAAAAUUAAACCACAGGUUCCAUUAUGGGUCGACUUGAUGGGAAAGUCAUCAUCCUGACGGCCGCUGCUCAGGGGAUUGGCCAAGCAGCUGCCUUAGCUUUUGCAAGAGAAGGUGCCAAAGUCAUAGCCACAGACAUUAAUGAGUCCAAACUUCAGGAACUGGAAAAGUACCCGGGUAUUCAAACUCGUGUCCUUGAUGUCACAAAGAAGAAACAAAUUGAUCAGUUCGCCAAUGAAGUUGAGAGACUUGAUGUUCUCUUUAAUGUUGCUGGUUUUGUCCAUCAUGGAACUGUCCUGGAUUGUGAGGAGAAAGACUGGGACUUCUCGAUGAAUCUCAAUGUGCGCAGCAUGUACCUGAUGAUCAAGGCAUUCCUUCCUAAAAUGCUUGCUCAGAAAUCUGGCAAUAUUAUCAACAUGUCUUCUGUGGCUUCCAGCGUCAAAGGUGGGUCUGUCUCCUUCUGAGGACUGCGAUGCUCAUACAUGCACAUCAUUAAGAGCUCUGCGUUUGGGAACAGGCAUAGCAGAGAUCAUAAUUUCAAGUAUUGAAAUGAUUUCAAAACUGCUUUUUUCAAAAUUGGUAUUAAGUUCCUUAACCACAGAUCUUUUGCUCUAGAUGUGAGCCAGUGGUAAAAUUAAAUUAAAAUGUGGGGUAUUUUUGCCGUCCCUUUUAUUCUUUCUAAUGGACAUGGAAAUGAACAUCAAACUGGGAGAAAGAAUCAUUUAACAUUUAAUUAAUUUAAAACAGUGUAUUGAGCACCAGUAUGUGCUCUGCCUAUAACAGAAUUCACAGUCCAAAACUAGGAGCAAGGCAGCAAACAUCAUCUUCUCCAGUGUGAUGAUAUAUAACAAAGGUUUGUACAAAGCGCUGUCAAAAUACAGGGAAAUAACUGCCUGUGAGUUUGUGGAAUGCUUCACAAAGACAGUUGAUCUGAGCCAUCAGUGAGAAGUCAAGGUGAAGGACAAGGACAGCAGUGUAAAAUGUGGAUUAUGUCACAAUCUGGCAUAGUUGGAUCUGUGAGUUUAAAACGAAAUAGUUACUGCUGAGAUAACAUUUCUUCUCUUUGCAAGAAUACACAUAUUCAACAUACACAAGAGAGGAAUGUAAAGAAGUGCCUAGGCCUCCUGUUUUAUUGUUUUGUUUUGUUAUUAAUCUUCAUUUUCUUUUGGAAUCUGCCUAAGAGUUAUGGCAACUGAUGAUGAGAAACUAAGACUACCAGUGUUAAGAGUUGUGAACAGAUGUGUGUACAGCACAACCAAGGCAGCUGUGAUUGGCCUCACAAAAUCUGUGGCUGCAGAUUUCAUCCAGCAGGGCAUCAGGUGCAACUGUGUGUGCCCAGGAACGGUUGAUACGCCAUCUCUACAAGAAAGAAUACAAGCCAGAGGAAAUCCUGAAGAGGCACGGAAUGAUUUCCUGAAGAGGCAAAAGACGGGAAGAUUCGCAACUGCAGAAGAAAUAGCCAUGCUCUGCGUGUAUUUGGCUUCUGAUGAAUCUGCUUAUGUAACUGGUAACCCUGUCAUCAUUGAUGGAGGCUGGAGCUUGUGAUUUUAGGAUCUCCAUGGUGGGAAGGAAAGCAGGCCCUUCCUAUCCACAGUGAACCUGGUUAUGAAGAACACUCACCAAUCAUCUCCUUCCUGUUAAUCACAUGUUAAUGAAAAUAAGCCCUUUUUAAUGAUGUCACUGUUUGCAAGAGUCUGAUUCUUUAAGUAUAUUA
rnacentral:sRNA from 1 species